UCCUACAACCCCGCACAAAUACAAUAGUUUAAAAUAUUUUUGAUCGAAACGACGACGAAACACAAACGAGGCUAGCCACCUCAGACUAGGCUGUAAUAUUGUGGCGUCAGUCGAUCUGAGCCAAGAAAUAAAUGAAACAAUUUUUUAAAUUUUUUAGUUAUUUUUCAUUUACAUGGAUUUUUUGUACUUAGAUGCUUAACAAUUGUUUUUUUAGGCGUAAAAUAUGAUAACUCUUUACACCUCUUUUAGGUCCAUUAGUGGCCAGAUAUUUAAAUAAUACGUGUUUACUAUGUUGUUAAUAAUGCAGAUCGCGCGAGGUUAUCUCGGGCUAUAUCCUAAUUAAUUAAAAAAUAUAUAAAUCCAAGUUUGCAAAUAUCAUGAAUUAUUUAAAAGUUCAAGAAUCAGAAGAGAACAAGUGUUUGUUUGAAGACUAAGCGUAUUAUCAAACUACAGUACACCAUUACUUACUAUAAACUUCGCAACAUGAGGGCUAUCUUAAUCACUCUAUUAUGUCUUACAUAUGGUUUAAUGUUUGCGGACGCUAGAUAUUCUGAUCAGCAACCGUCAAUGCCUUGCAUCGAAAUCCACCGUUACGAUAGACGAAUUGAUCAAUGUCUUGACGUUAUGGCAUGCUAUGAAAUCCUUUAUAAUUAUGUACAAGGCUUCGUAAGCAAAAACCUCAUCGUACUCUACGUAAGCGCAGCGAAUGCACAUUCUAGUACUGAAUUGGAAGAGCUUUUUGAGGAAAGCAAUAUUUAUGUUCCAACACAAGGAUCCCUAUUAGAUAAGAUAGCAGCUGUCCGAAAUCAGUGUGUAAAUAAGCUAAAUAGAAUUGUACCUGAUUUCGUUACAUAUUUACAAAACACUUGUUACAACUACUAUUAAAGCAUAUGAAGAAAUCAGUAGUACUUAAGUUUUUUUAAGCGAUUCGAAAUAGUGGUCAAAGAAGAUUAAAAACUAGACUAGAAUGUAGUAGUGGAAUUACAAAUAGUAUACUUUUGACAAAUAAAAAAGAAUGUUCUAUUGUU